rnacentral:lncRNA from 1 species
CUGGCCCUGCCUGCUCAGGAUUUUCUCCAGAGCUGAAACCCUCAAUGGAGGAGCACCCUGUUGUCCCUUGGUACCUGUGAGCAACCGGGAGAAAGGCUGGCAGUGUGGUGGCCUUGUGAGGCUGUUGUGGGCAAAGGAUGCUGGAGAGGUUACCCCAUCAGCUAAGGGUGUUUAUGGGAUGAAACUGGUGAUGUGGUGAUGAAACAGGUGUUUCUUCUUAUGCUGUCCCUGCAAAUGGGAGGUCCUGAAAGGUUUGCUAACAAUGGCUGCAAGCAUUGGUGUGGAGGCAAUAUGCCCUCCUGUGGCAGACUCCAUCUUUGAGGACAAGGAUCCCUGCAUGGGGAGGGUUCCCAAAAAGGGCCUGACCUCAGUGGCAGGGUCAUUCCCAUGAGGGCAGAGCUGUGGACAAACACAGGCCAGCUGUGGAGAAGACAGUAAAGGAGCUCUGCAUGCCAAUUUAGCACCCAACAGCAGUCAGGACCCUGGCAACCUGGGUAAAAGCCAACCCAUCCCGAAAAAACCUUGGAGUCAUUCUUUUGCUAUGAUGAAAUACAUAAAAAAAAAAUUUGCUCUGAAAAAUAAUUCUAUUAAGGUUCACAUGCAGUAUUUUGCCCUUUGCUGCCUAGAUUUUGGGUAACAGUAGUGGUGUCUCCUUCCAACAAGGGUGAUUUAGGGAGUGGUGUGUAAGUGAUAUAUGUAAAUUCCACACCAGGAGUUACAGGCCUUUGGGAUGUGUUGCUGGCCAACAUGGCCCAAUACAGGGACCCCGUGCUCUGGCCCAGCUCACAUGUUUUGCUCUGGAAAGGCUCAGCUUUCUCUAUACCACUGGCCAAUACAUGUGUACAGCUGUUGUGUUUUUCUCCCUUGAGCUUUAGCUUUGGUUCACUUUUAUAAUUUAAGUAACUGUAUGGAAAAUGAUAAAGAGUAGAAUGUGUGUCCUGUGAUACAGUAUCAAAAAAGAGACUUCACGUGAUACACCCUGACCUUAUGGAGGAUUUUUCAUGUUGGCUUUGCUCAAAUAGAAAUCUCAAUUACUUUACCUUUUUCCAAGUCAUUUAAAUGCUCUUGUCUUUCAGCCCCAUGUCAUUUGAAAAAUGUACUAGUAAUCUUGUUUGCUCAUUUACAGCUUCUUACAGGGCUUGGCAGCUCUGCUGACCUUCCCUGACUCAGGCUCUGAUCUCUGUCUUGGUAAAACACCCACAAGCUUGGCACUGGAAAUAUGUAAUGGACUGAAAUUGCUCUUGUGAAAGGGUUUUUUUUUUUUUUUGUUUUGGUUUUUUUUUUUUUUUUUUUUUUUUUUUUUUUUUUUAAUGUGGAAUGAUUUUAGGAACAUAAGGAAAAAAACAUUCACAUGGCACAUAAAAUCACUGACCUUCACCUUCAGAAAGGUUCUUUCUGUGCCCUCUGGGGAACAACUGGAGAAGUUCCUGCCAGCCCAAAGAGCUGGUUGAUGUUGGGAGCAGCUGAGACAGUGUGGGCAGUGCGUUGUGCUCUGGGGUUAUGCUCACAGACCAGAAAAGGAAGCCAUAGCUUGGGAAACAGCAGACACAUGUGGCUGGAAAAGGAAUGCAGCAUUAGGCUGGUCCAGAAAAAACUGAGGUAAGGAUUUAGAGGGGUAAUUUUGCAAAAGGAAAUCGCUCUCCUCCCACCCAUCACACAGACAGGCAGAGGCAGGGAAGGGUGGCCAGACACACAGAGGAGGGGGGAUGUUUUGUACUGAUACAGCAACAGCGUUGUCUGGAGAGCAGCAGAGACUUUGUUACUGUUUCAAAAUAAACAGAGGACUUUGGACACAGGAGAAAAACCAGCAGCUCCUCGAGAACACAUUGAGCCCUGCCGUCAGCAGAGCUGCACUCUCCCACCACAGCAAGGGCAAAACUUUACCCCAUUUUCAAAGAGAACUGUGAGGAGUAACUCUGGUUUCUGGCAUUGGUUUGCUGGCUAGGCAAGAGGGAGCCUCUGGAGUUUGAGCUACUGCCCAUCUGGGUUUCUUCAGCCCCUGGAGGCCACUUGCUUUUCCAGCCAAAAGUAUCAUGAUGCUUUUGAGGAUGGGCAGCACAUAACCUCUUGCUCCUGCUCUCUAGAAGAAAAACCACUAUGAAGUCUGUAUGGUUAUUUCCAUUUCUAAGGAACAGAUGAAAAAUAUGAGUGGGAAAAAAUUUAACCCUUUCUCACCAAUGAAACUGGUCCCAGUAUGCAUCUGCUCUUGUUAGGGAGCCAAUUCAAUUUCAAUUCUAAUACUUUGUUUUAUUAGGGUUUAUUUUAUCUUAAUAUUUGUCUUAGGUGCCUCUUUAAUGUGCUAUUAGUAAAUCAGAUGAUUUUGCAGCCAGCUGAGAGAUACAGGAUCUUGAGUGUUCCUAUAUGUUUAGCAGGGCUGCUCCUGCCUUGUUAAAAUGUUCUGUCAUGCUAUUCCUUACCAGUGCUGGUCUGUGACAGCUUUCCUGGUGUUGGGUGCUGAUAUUUGUUGAUGUUUGGCCUUUUUCAAAGCAGGGCUUCUUUCUGAGUCCACCUGCUGCUUUGCUUAGUGCAAAAAUGUAAAUUUUGCACUGUGGCUCCCUUGUGCUUGAGCUCUUCUCUCUGCCCCUGUUUUUCAGCAGCCUGGCCAGGGUCUGUUAGACUAUUGAUUUUUUUUGUUUUGUUUUAAAAUUAUUUUUCCAUCACAAGGCUGCAGGCACAGCAUUGCUUGUUAUUGAUUUCUGACAGCAUAACAAAGGGUGUGGAGGUGUUAUGUUUGCAGGGCCAGCCCAGCCCCAGGGGACAGCUGGGCCCCUGCCCUGCAGAGCUGCACAUCUGUGUCCCCCUCCUGCCAGAGGGGAAAACACAGCCAGAGAAGACUGAUGUGAGAGGGGAAAGGCAGCACCCAUUGAGGAGCUGAUAAAAAAAUGCCCUUGAAAUUGCCAGUUGGGGUCUCUUGACCUCUAACUGCAGAUACCUGGAGUUUCCAGAAUCUGAGAAAACUUUUACCAUUUCUCAGUUUGCUCAAAAAGAAAAAAAAAAAAAAAA